rnacentral:rRNA from 1 species
AUGGAGUUGUUAUCACGUGAUGAAUUUGCCCUCGUAUCGGUGGCAUUAUGGUCCAUAUGGCAUGCGAGGCGCAAGGCAAUACAUGAAGCCAUUUUCCAAUCCCCCCAGGUGACCCAUGAUUUCAUCACAAGGUACAUGGCUGAGCUCGGCAUAGUCAAGGAAAAGACGCAGCAAACUGUUGUAAGGAGUGAGGGACACACUCGACCUCGUAAGCCACCGCCGGGGCACUUCAAAAUUCAUGUGGACGACGGAGUUCUAGGAACCAGGGGAGGUUCGGCGGCAGCGAUAUGUAGAGAUGAACAUGGGAACUAUAUGGGUAGCUCAGCACUUGUCGUUCAAGGACUUACAGAUCCACCAACUCUAGAAGCAAUGACGUGUCGAGAGGCUUUGGCUCUAGCAGAAGACCUGGGAAUCCAAAGCUUUGUGGUGGCCUCCGACUGUCAACAAGUGGUCUCAGACAUCAACGCCGGAGCAAGGGGAACUUAUGGAGCAAUUAUCAGAGAGAUAAACCUUAGAUCAUCGCCUUUUCUUUGUAAUUUUGUCUUUGAGAGUCGUGCUGUCAAUGUAGAAGCACACCGUCUAGCCAAGUUUUAUUUUUCGAGAGGACCGGGGCGCCACGUAUGGCUUGGUGCACCCCAUGACCUCAGAUGUAUCCCACAUCAUGUGGAAUUUCAUGAAUAA